UUUUUUUUUUUUUUUUUUUUUUUUUUUUUUUUUUUAAAUCUCAUCAUUCCGUCCUUUUUUCUAA
rnacentral:ribozyme from 1 species